rnacentral:rRNA from 1 species
AUUGAACGCUGGCGGCAGGCCUAACACAUGCAAGUCGAGCGGAUGAAGGGAGCUUGCUCCUGGAUUCAGCGGCGGACGGGUGAGUAAUGCCUAGGAAUCUGCCUGGUAGUGGGGGAUAACGUCCGGAAACGGGCGCUAAUACCGCAUACGUCCUGAGGGAGAAAGUGGGGGAUCUUCGGACCUCACGCUAUCAGAUGGGCCUAGGUCGGAUUAGCUAGUUGGUGGGGUAAAGGCCUACCAAGGCGACGAUCCGUAACUGGUCUGAGAGGAUGAUCAGUCACACUGGAACUGAGACACGGUCCAGACUCCUACGGGAGGCAGCAGUGGGGAAUAUUGGACAAUGGGCGAAAGCCUGAUCCAGCCAUGCCGCGUGUGUGAAGAAGGUCUUCGGAUUGUAAAGCACUUUAAGUUGGGAGGAAGGGCAGUAAGUUAAUACCUUGCUGUUUUGACAUUACCAACAGAAUAAGCACCGGCUAACUUCGUG